AGCGAACGCUGGCGGCAGGCCUAACACAUGCAAGUCGAACGAAGUCUUCGGACUUAGUGGCGGACGGGUGAGUAACACGUGGGAACGUGCCUUUAGGUUCGGAAUAACUCAGGGAAACUUGUGCUAAUACCGAAUGUGCCCUUCGGGGGAAAGAUUUAUCGCCUUUAGAGCGGCCCGCGUCUGAUUAGCUAGUUGGUGAGGUAAAGGCUCACCAAGGCUACGAUCAGUAGCUGGUCUGAGAGGAUGACCAGCCACAUUGGGACUGAGACACGGCCCAAACUCCUACGGGAGGCAGCAGUGGGGAAUCUUGCGCAAUGGGCGAAAGCCUGACGCAGCCAUGCCGCGUGGAUGAUGAAGGUCUUAGGAUUGUAAAAUCCUUUCACCGGUGAAGAUAAUGACUGUAGCCGGAGAAGAAGCCCCGGCUAACUUCGUGCCAGCAGCCGCCGCGGUAA
rnacentral:rRNA from 1 species